AUGGUUACACCAGAUUAUCUCCAGUGGCCUGGACAUGGACAAGCUUCAGCCAGUGAAACGGGAGGGGUUUGCGUUGCUUCAUGCCAGAACCUUGUUCUGUCACUCAGGGGCUCCUCUAUGGGAAGAGACAGCGGGCUCGGGGGGUUCCAGCAGGAAAGGAGAAACGCAGAAGGUUGAACUGGUGCUCUGAGAGGGGACAAGACUUGGACCCUCAGCUCACAUCCCAGGGAAGUGCCGGCUCCCCAGGACAGCCCGGGCACUGCAGGCAGCUUCUGAGCUCCCAAGGAAGUGCCACAGACAGAACCAUGCAUGCUGAGCUGCGUGCUGCAGGGAUACCACGGUGUGUGCCUAAGAGGACAAGGGCUGGCAUAAACAAAUACAUGUUGAAGGCCAGUACAUUUAUGUAUAUUCUUAUUUCCUAGGCUUCUGCAAAAUUAAGAGGCAAACAUGUGAGCAGAGUCUUGCUGGCUUCCCUCAAGUAGGAGUUCCAUAUUCUGGCUCUACUUUUCACAGACAGAGAAGUCUGGACAUUUCCUAGAAGUCUGAAGAUUUUUAGCUACUAAUGUAAACCAAAUCCAAAGUCUGAAAUAUUAGAGAUUUCCCCAUCCUGACAAAACUCACAGGCUUCUCCAAUUACAAAUAUCAUUGAAAUUCACAGUUAGAAGUUGCAAUAAAAUAACAUUCCUGAAGAUCA
rnacentral:lncRNA from 1 species